rnacentral:rRNA from 1 species
GACGAACGCUGGCGGCGCGCCUAACACAUGCAAGUCGAACGGAGCUGAGAGAAGCUUGCUUUUCUUAGCUUAGUGGCGAACGGGUGAGUAACGCGUGAGUAACCUGCCCUGGAGUGGGGGACAACAGUUGGAAACGACUGCUAAUACCGCAUAAGCCCACGAUCCGGCAUCGGAUUGAGGGAAAAGGAUUUAUUCGCUUCAGGAUGGACUCGCGUCCAAUUAGCUAGUUGGUGAGGUAACGGCCCACCAAGGCGACGAUUGGUAGCCGGACUGAGAGGUUGAAAGGCCACAUUGGGAAUGAGACACGGCCCAGAAUCCUACGGGAGGGAGCAGUGGGGGAUAUUGCACAAUGGGGGAAACCCUGAUGCAGCGACGCCGCGUGGAGGAAGAAGGUUUUCGGAUUGUAAACUCCUGUCGUUAGGGACGAUAAUGACGGUACCUAACAAGAAAGCACCGGCUAACUACGUG